UACGUAGGUGGCAAGCGUUGUCCGGAAUUACUGGGCGUAAAGCGUGCGUAGGCGGUUCUCCAAGUCCGUUGUGAAAGCCCCCGGCUCAACCUGGGAAUGUCAGUGGAAACUAGGGGACUUGAAUCUGGCAGAGGGGGGUGGAAUUCCACGUGUAGCAGUGAAAUGCGUAGAGAUGUGGAGGAACACCGAUGGCGAAGGCAGCCCCCUGGGCUGAGAUUGACGCUCAGGCACGAAAGCGUGGGGAGCAAACAGG
rnacentral:rRNA from 1 species